rnacentral:rRNA from 1 species
AUUGAACGCUGGCGGCAGGCUUAACAUAUGCAAGUCGAGCGGGGUGAUGGUGCUUGCACUAUCACUUAGCGGCGGACGGGUGAGUAAUGCUUAGGAAUCUGCCUAUUAGUGGGGGACAACAUCUCGAAAGGGAUGCUAAUGCCGCAUACGUCCUACGGGAGAAAGCAGGGGAUCACUUGUGACCUUGCGCUAAUAGAUGAGCCUAAGUCGGAUUAGCUAGUUGGUGGGGUAAAGGCCUACCAAGGCGACGAUCUGUAGCGGGUCUGAGAGGAUGAUCCGCCACACUGGGACUGAGACACGGCCCAGACUCCUACGGGAGGCAGCAGUGGGGAAUAUUGGACAAUGGGGGGAACCCUGAUCUAGCCAUGCCGCGUGUGUGAAGAAGGCCUUAUGGUUGUAAAGCACUUUAAGCGAGGAGGAGGCUCUUUUGGUUAAUACCCAAGAUGAGUGGACGUUACUCGCAGAAUAAGCACCGGCUAACUCUGUGCCAGCCGCCGCCGUAA